UACGUAGGCAGCAAGCGUUGUUCGGAAUUACUGGGCGUAAAGCGUGCGCAGGCGGUUCGUGAUGUCUGAUGUGAAAGCCCCGGGCUCAACCUGGGAACUGCAUUGGAAACUAGCGGGCUGGAGUGUGGCAGAGGGGGGUGGAAUUCCACGUGUAGCAGUGAAAUGCGUAGAGAUGUGGAGGAACACCGAUGGCGAAGGCAGCCCCCUGGGCUAACACUGACGCUCAUGCACGAAAGCGUGGGGAGCAAACAGG
rnacentral:rRNA from 1 species